CCCUUAGAUGUCCUGGGCUGCACGCGCGCUACACUGAUGUGUCCAGUAAGCACCUAACCUCUUCCGAAAGGAACGGGUAACCUUUGCAAAGCACAUCGUGAUGGGGAUAGAUUAUUGCAAUUAUUAGUCUUGAACGAGGAAUUCCUAGUAAGCACAAGACAUCAGCUUGUGUUGAUUACGUCCCUGCCCUUUGUACACACCGCCCGUCGCUCCUACCGAUUGAAUGUUCCGGUGAGCUCUUCGGACUGCGCGGUCUGCAGUUUCUGCGUUCCGUGCGGAAAGUUGCGCAAACCUUAACAUUUAGAGGAAGGAGAAGUCGUAACA
rnacentral:rRNA from 1 species